rnacentral:rRNA from 1 species
AACGCUAGCGGCAGGCCUAACACAUGCAAGUCGAGGGGUAACAGGGAGUAGCUUGCUACUUUGCUGACGACCGGCGCACGGGUGCGUAACGCGUAUACAAUCUGCCUUGUACUGGGGGAUAGCCUUUAGAAAUGAAGAUUAAUACCCCAUAGUAUAUGACUGUGGCAUCACAGCCAUAUUAAAGGUUACGGUACAAGAUGAGUAUGCGUCCUAUUAGCUAGAUGGUGUGGUAACGGCACACCAUGGCGACGAUAGGUAGGGGCCCUGAGAGGGGGAUCCCCCACACUGGUACUGAGACACGGACCAGACUCCUACGGGAGGCAGCAGUGAGGAAUAUUGGACAAUGGAGGCAACUCUGAUCCAGCCAUGCCGCGUGCAGGAAGACUGCCCUAUGGGUUGUAAACUGCUUUUAUACGGGAAGAAACACCCCCACGUGUGGGGGCUUGACGGUACCGUAAGAAUAAGCACCGGCUAACUCCGUGCCAGCAGCCGCGGUAAUACGGAGGGUGCAAGCGUUAUCCGGAAUCAUUGGGUUUAAAGGGUCCGUAGGCGGACGAUUAAGUCAGAGGUGAAAGUCUGCAGCUCAACUGUAGAAUUGCCUUUGAUACUGGUUGUCUUGAAUUAUUGUGAAGUGGUUAGAAUAAGUAGUGUAGCGGUGAAAUGCAUAGAUAUUACUUAGAAUACCAAUUGCGAAGGCAGAUCACUAACAAUAUAUGAC